rfam:Morus notabilis contig16983, whole genome shotgun sequence.
UUACUUACCUGGACGGGGUCAAUGGGCGGUCAAGAAGGCCCAUGGCCUAGCUUUGUGACUCCCAUUGCACUUGGGGAGGGUGCAGGGCUAAGGUCUACCCAAGUGGUGGAGCCUACGUCGUUAUUUGUGGUUGUGGGGGCCUGCGUUCGCGCGGCCCCUGU